rnacentral:rRNA from 1 species
UCGAGGGGUAACAUUGAAGCUUGCUUCAGAUGACGACCGGCGAACGGGUGCGUAACGCGUAUGCAACCUACCUUUCACAGGGGGAUAGCCAUUAGAAAUGAUGAUUAAUACCCCAUACGAUCUCUUAAUAGCAUUGUUUUGGGAAGAAAACUACGGUGGUGAAAGAUGGGCAUGCGUCCUAUUAGUUAGUUGGAGAGGUAACGGCUCACCAAGACACUGAUAGGUAGGGGCCUUGAGAGGGGGGUCCCCCACACUGGUACUGAGACACGGACCAGACUUCUACGGGAGGCAGCAGUGAGGAAUAUUGGGCAAUGGAGGAAACUCUGAUCCAGCCAUGCCGCGUGCAGGAUGACAGCUUUACGAGUUGUAAACUGCUUUUAUUCAGGAAGAAACCUCAGCACGUGUGCUGAGUUGACGGUACUGUUUGAAUAAGGAUCGGCUAACUCCGUGCCAGCAGCCGCGGUAAUACGGAGGAUCCAAGUGUUAUCCGGAAUUAUUGGGUUUAAAGGGUCCGUAGGCUGUUUGGUAAGUCAGGGGUGAAAUCCUACAGCUCAACUGUAGAACUGCCUCUGAUACUGUCAAACUUGAGUUAUUGUGAAGUAAUUAGAAUGUGUAGUGUAGCGGUGAAAUGCAUAGAUAUUACACGGAAUACCAAUUGCGAAGGCAGAUUACUAACAAUAUACUGACGCUGAGGGACGAGAGCGUGGGUAGCGAACAGGAUUAGAUACCCUGGUAGUCCACGCCGUAAACGAUGGAUACUAACUAUUUGAUGCACAUUGGUGUGUUGAGUGGUCAAGCGAAAGUGAUAAGUAUCCCACCUGGGGAGUACGCUCGCAAGAGUGAAACUCAAAGGAAUUGACGGGGGCCCGCACAAACGGUGGAGCAUGUGGUUUAUUCGAUGAUACGCGAGGAA